UACGUAGGGGGCAAGCGUUGUCCGGAAUCAUUGGGCGUAAAGAGCGUGUAGGCGGUCGGGUCAGUCGGGUGUGAAAGUCAAGGGCUCAACCCUUGAAUGCCGGCCGAUACUGCCGGGCUAGAGGCCGGAAGAGGUGAGUGGAAUUCCUGGUGUAGCGGUGAAAUGCGCAGAUAUCAGGAGGAACACCGAUGGCGAAGGCAGCUCACUGGGACGGUACUGACGCUGAGACGCGAAAGCGUGGGGAGCGAACAGG
rnacentral:rRNA from 1 species